rnacentral:sRNA from 1 species
GUUUGCACUUGUCGGGGAAGGGUGAGAACCUUCGAUUAAGGUUCGACUCGAGCGAAAGCGAGAGAAUGUUGCCAACGGCAACGACCCGUAGGGUGAGGAGCGAAGCGACGAAUAAUCCUUCCCCCACCACCA